rnacentral:rRNA from 1 species
GACGAACGCUGGCGGCGUGCUUAACACAUGCAAGUCGAACGGAAAGGCCCUGCUUUUGUGGGGUGCUCGAGUGGCGAACGGGUGAGUAACACGUGAGUAACAUGCCCUUGACUUUGGGAUAACUUCAGGAAACUGGGGCUAAUACCGGAUAGGAGCUCCUGCUGCAUGGUGGGGGUUGGAAAGUUUCGGCGGUAGGGGAUGGACUCGCGGCUUAUCAGCUUGUUGGUGGGGUAGUGGCUUACAAAGGGUUUGACGGGUAGCCGGCCUGAGAGGGUGACCGGCCACAAGGGGACUGAGAUACGGCCCAGACGCCUACGUGAGGCAGCAGUGGGGAGUAUUGCACAAUGGGCGGAAGCCUGAUGCAGCAACGCCGCGUGCGGGAUGACGGCCUUCGGGUGGUAAACCGCUGUCGCCUGUGACGAAGCGUGAGUGACGGUAAUGGGUAAAGAAGCACCGGCUAACUACGUG